CAAGCAAGCAAGCACUCUCUACCAUGUCGGGAAGAGACGGUGGCAAGAAAAAGCCCUUGAAGCAACCAAAAAAGCAAUCAAAGGAAAUGGAUGAGGAAGACCGAGCUUUCAAGCAAAAACAGAAGGAGGAGCAGAAGAAGCUGGACGAGCUGAAGGCCAAAGCUGCUGGGAAGGGCCCGCUUACUGGAGGUGGUAUUAAGAAGUCUGGUAAGAAGUAGCAGGUUGGAUGGACGACAUGGCAAGUGAAGCAUUUUGUUCCCCUUGGACGCUUGGCAGCGGGACAGAACUCAUGUUGUAGGAUAUGUUAAUUUGUGCACCUUUGUACUUUUUGUUCAAACAAAAUAAAUGGGGGGUUGGUUGGUUAAUGACUGUUCUCUCUUCACCUUCAGCAUGUGUUAUUACCA